AAGAUGGCGACCGGCGCACGGGUGAGUAACACGUAUCCAACCUGCCGAUAACUCUGGAAUAGCCUUUCGAAGAAAGAUUAAUACCGGAUGGCAUACGAAUAUCGCAUGAUAUUUUUAUUUAAAGAAUUUCGGUUAUCGAUGGGGAUGCGUUCCAUUAGUUUGUUGGCGGGGUAACGGCCCACCAAGACAACGAUGGAUAGGGGUUCUGAGAGGAAGGUCCCCCACAUUGGAACUGAGACACGGUCCAA
rnacentral:rRNA from 1 species